rnacentral:rRNA from 2 species
AGAGUUUGAUCCUGGCUCAGGAUGAACGCUGGCGGCGUGCCUAAUACAUGCAAGUCGAGCGAACGGACGAGAAGCUUGCUUCUCUGAUGUUAGCGGCGGACGGGUGAGUAACACGUGGAUAACCUACCUAUAAGACUGGGAUAACUUCGGGAAACCGGAGCUAAUACCGGAUAAUAUUUUGAACCGCAUGGUUCAAAAGUAAAAGACGGUCUUGCUGUCACUUAUAGAUGGAUCCGCGCUGCAUUAGCUAGUUGGUAAGGUAACGGCUUACCAAGGCAACGAUGCAUAGCCGACCUGAGAGGGUGAUCGGCCACACUGGAACUGAGACACGGUCCAGACUCCUACGGGAGGCAGCAGUAGGGAAUCUUCCGCAAUGGGCGAAAGCCUGACGGAGCAACGCCGCGUGAGUGAUGAAGGUCUUCGGAUCGUAAAACUCUGUUAUUAGGGAAGAACAUAUGUGUAAGUAACUGUGCACAUCUUGACGGUACCUAAUCAGAAAGCCACGGCUAACUACGUGCCAGCAGCCGCGGUAAUACGUAGGUGGCAAGCGUUAUCCGGAAUUAUUGGGCGUAAAGCGCGCGUAGGCGGUUUUUUAAGUCUGAUGUGAAAGCCCACGGCUCAACCGUGGAGGGUCAUUGGAAACUGGAAAACUUGAGUGCAGAAGAGGAAAGUGGAAUUCCAUGUGUAGCGGUGAAAUGCGCAGAGAUAUGGAGGAACACCAGUGGCGAAGGCGACUUUCUGGUCUGUAACUGACGCUGAUGUGCGAAAGCGUGGGGAUCAAACAGGAUUAGAUACCCUGGUAGUCCACGCCGUAAACGAUGAGUGCUAAGUGUUAGGGGGUUUCCGCCCCUUAGUGCUGCAGCUAACGCAUUAAGCACUCCGCCUGGGGAGUACGACCGCAAGGUUGAAACUCAAAGGAAUUGACGGGGACCCGCACAAGCGGUGGAGCAUGUGGUUUAAUUCGAAGCAACGCGAAGAACCUUACCAAAUCUUGACAUCCUUUGACAACUCUAGAGAUAGAGUCUUCCCCUUCGGGGGACAAAGUGACAGGUGGUGCAUGGUUGUCGUCAGCUCGUGUCGUGAGAUGUUGGGUUAAGUCCCGCAACGAGCGCAACCCUUAAGCUUAGUUGCCAUCAUUAAGUUGGGCACUCUAAGUUGACUGCCGGUGACAAACCGGAGGAAGGUGGGGAUGACGUCAAAUCAUCAUGCCCCUUAUGAUUUGGGCUACACACGUGCUACAAUGGACAAUACAAAGGGCAGCGAAACCGCGAGGUCAAGCAAAUCCCAUAAAGUUGUUCUCAGUUCGGAUUGUAGUCUGCAACUCGACUACAUGAAGCUGGAAUCGCUAGUAAUCGUAGAUCAGCAUGCUACGGUGAAUACGUUCCCGGGUCUUGUACACACCGCCCGUCACACCACGAGAGUUUGUAACACCCGAAGCCGGUGGAGUAACCUUUUAGGAGCUAGCCGUCGAAGGUGGGACAAAUGAUUGGGGUGAAGUCGUAACAAGGUAGCCGUAUCGGAAGGUGCGGCUGGAUCACCU